CACAUUUUGCGCUCAAAUCCCGAUGAACGCGACUCUAUAAAAGCGUACCGUACGUGGAACAAAAAACGCAGGGGAAGGACGGGAUUCUCACCCUCUAUGAUGUUCUUUCCCAAGAAACUUAACCCUGCGCUUCCACUGGUAACGCCUCUCGAGGCUACAAGUCAACAGCUCGGAAAGAGCAGUUGAUUUCCACUUUGAGCUGAUCCCGGUUCACUCGCCGUUACUAAGGGAAUCAUAGUUAUUUUCUUCUCCUCCGCUUAAUAAUAUGCUUAAGUUCAGCGGGUAACCUCGCCUGAUUUCAGGUCUG